rnacentral:rRNA from 1 species
GACGAACCGUGCGAACGUUGUUCGGAAUCACUGGGUUUAAAGGGCGCGUAGGCGGGCUGUCAAGUCGGUGGUGAAAUCGUUCCGCUCAACGGGACAAUGGCCUUCGAUACUGGCGGUCUGGAGGGAGGUAGGGGCAUGCGGAACUUCCGGUGGAGCGGUGAAAUGCGUAGAUAUCAUCAAGAACACCGAUUGCGAAGGCAGCUUACUAAGCUGUAACUGACGCUGAGGCACGAAAGCGUGGGGAUCGAACAGG